rnacentral:rRNA from 1 species
AGUCGACGGUGAUCUCGGUGCUUGCACCGGGUGAUCAGUGGCGAACGGGUGAGUAACACGUGAGCAACCUGCCCCUGACUCUGGGAUAACUCCGAGAAAUCGGUGCUAAUACCGGAUACGAGACGCACAGGCAUCUGUAGCGUCUGGAAAGAAUUUUGGUCAGGGAUGGGCUCGCGGCCUAUCAGCUUGUUGGUGGGGUAACGGCCCACCAAGGCGACGACGGGUAGCCGGCCUGAGAGGGCGACCGGCCACACUGGGACUGAGACACGGCCCAGACUCCUACGGGAGGCAGCAGUGGGGAAUAUUGCACAAUGGGCGAAAGCCUGAUGCAGCGACGCCGCGUGGGGGAUGAAGGCCUUCGGGUUGUAAACCCCUUUCAGCAGGGAAGAAGCGAAAGUGACGGUACCUGCAGAAGAAGCGCCGGCUAACUACGUGCCAGCAGCCGCGGUAAUACGUAGGGCGCAAGCGUUGUCCGGAAUUAUUGGGCGUAAAGAGCUCGUAGGCGGUUUGUCGCGUCUGCUGUGAAAACCCGAGGCUCAACCUCGGGCCUGCAGUGGGUACGGGCAGACUAGAGUGCGGUAGGGGAGACUGGAAUUCCUGGUGUAGCGGUGGAAUGCGCAGAUAUCAGGAGGAACACCGA